rnacentral:rRNA from 1 species
CUACGUGCCAGCAGCCGCGGUAAUACGGAAGGUCCAGGCGUUAUCCGGAUUUAUUGGGUUUAAAGGGAGCGUAGGCUGGAGAUUAAGUGUGUUGUGAAAUGUAGACGCUCAACGUCUGAAUUGCAGCGCAUACUGGUUUCCUUGAGUACGCACAACGUUGGCGGAAUUCGUCGUGUAGCGGUGAAAUGCUUAGAUAUGACGAAGAACUCCGAUUGCGAAGGCAGCUGACGGGAGCGCAACUGACGCUUAAGCUCGAAGGUGCGGGUAUCAAACAGGAUUAGAUACCCUGGUAGUCCGCACAGUAAACGAUGGAUGCCCGCUGUUGGUACCUGGUAUCAGCGGCUAAGCGAAAGCAUUAAGCAUCCCACCUGGGGAGUACGCCGGCAACGGUGAAACUCAAAGGAAUUGACGGGGGCCCGCACAAGCGGAGGAACAUGUGGUUUAAUUCGAUGAUACGCGAGGAACCUUACCCGGGCU